CUGUCCCGUGGCACAGAGUGCCCGGAAAAGGCAAAGACACAUCCCUCUUUCAUGAUGUCACAGCAGCUCUACCUUGCUCUGCGAGGAAGGGCCGGAGCCAGCUUUGCCGAGGGGGGAAGGAGAGCUUGGUCGGGUUGAGAAAACAGACCCCACCCAGGAGCGCGAUCGCUUCUGAGCCACAUCCAUAGCGGUGCAACCAACCCGGGCACGGGAUCCCGCCCGCAGCCGCGGGGAUUAGCGCUGAUGGAAGGGGCCAGGGACGGAGAUGCGGGGUACGGCGGUGGGAACCGAGGGGUCCGCAUCCCCCCCACCCCGGGGGCGGAAAAGCACUGACCAAUGGUGGAGAUGAAGGUGGUGUUGAAGGCAUCGUCGGAGAAGCGGAAGAGGACGCAGGUCUUGCCGACCCCCGAGUCCCCGAUCAGCAGCAGCUUGAAGAGCAGGUCGUAGGUUUUCUUCGCCAUGGGGGAGGGCGCGG